GUGCUCGCUUCGGCAGCACAUAUACUAAAACUGGAACGAUACAGAGAAGAUUAGCAUGG
rnacentral:sRNA from 1 species